AUUGAACGCUGGCGGCAGGCCUAACACAUGCAAGUCGAACGAGUCGCGGACGGAUGAGUACUGACUGGGAAUCUAGCCUAUGGAGGGGGAUAACUAAGGGAAACUGUUGCUAAUACCGCGUACAAUAGGAUGAGCCCAAGUGGGAUUAGGUAGGUGGUAAGGUAAAGGCUCACCAAGCCGACGAUCUCUAGCUGGUCUGCGAGGAGGACCAGCCACACUGGGACUGAGACACGGCCCAGACUCCUACGGUAGGCAGCAGUGGGGAAUUUUGCACAAGGGGGGAAACCUGACGCAGCCAUGCCGCGUGGAUGAAGAAGGCCUUCGGGUUGUAAAGUUCUUUUGGUAGCGAGGCGUUAACUACAGAAGAAGCACCGGCUAACUCCGUGCCAGCAGCCGCGGUAAUUC
rnacentral:rRNA from 1 species